rnacentral:misc_RNA from 1 species
CAGAGAUCAUGCCCUCACGGGUAGACCUCCCACCCUAUGUUAUUAUACGAUUGUUGCUUUGGCAGGCCGCCCUCGGGCUCUCGGCUCCGGCUGAGGAGUGCCUGCCAGAGGACCCCAACUCUUCUGCUUUGUAUUGUCUGAGUCUUAUAUAAUAAGUUA